rnacentral:rRNA from 1 species
CCUACGGGAGGCAGCAGUGGGGAAUAUUGCACAAUGGGGGAAACCCUGAUGCAGCGACGCCGCGUGAGUGAAGAAGUAAUUCGUUAUGUAAAGCUCUAUCAGCAGGGAAGAAAAUGACGGUACCUGAGUAAGAAGCCCCGGCUAACUACGUGCCAGCAGCCGCGGUACUACGUAGGGGGCAGGCGUUAUCCGGAUUUACUGGGUGUAAAGGGAGCGUAGACGGCAGUGCAAGUCUGGAGUGAAAGGCGGGGGCUCAACCCCCGGACUGCUCUGGAAACUGUACGGCUGGAGUGCAGGAGAGGUAAGUGGAAUGCCUGGUGUAGCGGUGAAAUGCGUAGAUAUUAGGAGGAACACCAGUGGCGAAGGCGGCUUACUGGACUGUAACUGACGUUGAGGCUCGAAAGCGUGGGGAGCAAACAGGAUUAGAUACCCGUGUAGUC